rnacentral:rRNA from 1 species
GCGGAUUAGCCCAAACCAAUAAAGUUUUCUUUAUUGGGGUUGCGGACAUAUCAUAACGAAGAGGUAUCGUAAUUGAAGAGGUUUGGAAAGAUCCACCACAGAAGGUAAUAGUCCUGUAUGUUAAACGAGAAGACUUUAGAUAUGAUCCAGAGUACCACGGGACACGUGAAACCCUGUGGGAAGCAGGAGGGACCACACUCCAAGGCUAAAUACUACCUAGUGACCGAUAGCGUAUAGUACCGUGAGGGAAAGGUGAAAAGAACCCCGGGAGGGGAGUGAAAUAGAACCUGAA